UACGGAGGGGGCUAGCGUUGUUCGGAAUUACUGGGCGUAAAGCGUACGUAGGCGGCUUUGUAAGUUAGAGGUGAAAGCCCGGGGCUCAACUCCGGAAUUGCCUUUAAGACUGCAUCGCUUGAAUCAUGGAGAGGUGAGUGGAAUUCCGAGUGUAGAGGUGAAAUUCGUAGAUAUUCGGAAGAACACCAGUGGCGAAGGCGACUCACUGGACAUGUAUUGACGCUGAGGUUCGAAAGCGUGGGGAGCAAACAGG
rnacentral:rRNA from 1 species